UUUAAACUGUCCCAAGUGUGUGGUCGUCUGCUUUCAGGGCUGUUUCAGAAAGAAGGAGACGCUCGGAGCAGACACAGUUCAGGUUUGGGGUUGAAACGCGAACUGUCGUGAAUUCAGGGAGAGUUUUAUCCGCCGAGAUACAGACAUGAAGAAUGUGUAACAUUCAGCUGGAAAGGAACGACGAAGCUCUCGCGUUCACCGGUUUGAAACUAAAUUGAACUUCCAGGACGAUGGACGCAGAGAGAUAUUGGGGCUACGCAGACGCAGAGAACUUUUGGCAUGUGUCACAGAAAUCAGGAGAUGUGGAUCUGAGGAGCAGCGACGGAGAGGGAUGGAAGCUGGUGGAGGUGUUUCUAUCAGGAGGGGCGCCGUGGGGGUUUACACUCAGAGGAGGACUGGAGCAUCGAGAGCCACUCCUCAUAACCAAGGUUGAGGAGCGUAGCAAGGCAGCAGCGGUGAGUCUCCAUGUGGGAGACGAACUCGUCAACAUCAACGAUGUUCCCCUGAGUGGCUACAGACAGGAGGCAAUCUGCCUGGUGAAAGGCUCCCA